rnacentral:ncRNA from 1 species
UGAUAUGGCAUCAUAUUAUUAUUAAAACUUCGGUGGUAAUAGAUGAGUAUGCGUCCUAUUAGUUAGUUGGAAAGGUAACGGCUUCCCAAGACAUCGAUAGGUAGGGGUCCUGAGAGGGAGAUCCCCCACACUGGUACUGAGACACGGACCAGACUCCUACGGGAGGCAGCAGUGAGGAAUAUUGGACAAUGGAGGCAACUCUGAUCCAGCCAUGCCGCGUGCAGGAAGACUGCCCUAUGGGUUGUAAACUGCUUUUAUAGAGGAAGAAACCUUCUCACGUGUGAGAAUCUGACGGUACUCUACGAAUAAGGAUCGGCUAACUCCGUGCCAGCAGCCGCGGUAAUACGGAGGAUCCAAGCGUUAUCCGGAAUCAUUGGGUUUAAAGGGUCCGUAGGCGGGCAGUUAAGUCAGUGGUGAAAGUCUUCCGCUCAACGGGAGAAUUGCCAUUGAUACUGAUUGUCUUGAGUUAUUAUGAAGUGGUUAGAAUGAGUAGUGUAGCGGUGAAAUGCAUAGAUAUUACUCAGAAUACCGAUUGCGAAGGCAGAUCACUAAUAAUAUACUGACGCUGAUGGACGAAAGCGUAGGUAGCGAACAGGAUUAGAUACCCUGGUAGUCUACGCCGUAAACGAUGGUUACUAGCUGUCCGGUCUAAUUGAGGACUGGGUGGCUAAGCGAAAGUGAUAAGUAACCCACCUGGGGAGUACGUUCGCAAGAAUGAAACUCAAAGGAAUUGACGGGGGCCCGCACAAGCGGUGGAGCAUGUGGUUUAAUUCGAUGAUACGCGAGGAACCUUACCAGGGCUUAAAUGCAGUCUGACGUACUUGGAAACAGGUAUUUCUUCGGACAGAUUGCAAGGUGCUGCAUGGUUGUCGUCAGCUCGUGCCGUGAGGUGUCAGGUUAAGUCCUAUAACGAGCGCAACCCCUGUGGUUAGUUGCCAGCGAGUCAAGUCGGGAACUCUAGCCAGACUGCCGGUGCAAACCGUGAGGAAGGUGGGGAUGACGUCAAAUCAUCACGGCCCUUACGUCCUGGGCUACACACGUGCUACAAUGGUAGGGACAGAGAGCAGCCACUGGGCGACCAGGAGCGAAUCUA